GCUGUGGCUCAGUGGCAGAGGAUCUGCUUUGCAUGCAGAAGGUUCUGGGUUCAAUUCCUGGCAUCUCCC
rnacentral:tRNA from 1 species